rnacentral:rRNA from 1 species
AUGAACGCUGGCGGCGUGCCUAACACAUGCAAGUCGAACGAAGCAAUUAAGAUGAAGUUUUCGGAUGGAAUCUUGAUUGACUGAGUGGCGGACGGGUGAGUAACGCGUGGAUAACCUGCCUCACACUGGGGGAUAACAGUUAGAAAUGACUGCUAAUACCGCAUAAGCGCACAGUGCCGCAUGGCAGUGUGUGAAAAACUCCGGUGGUGUGAGAUGGAUCCGCGUCUGAUUAGCCAGUUGGCGGGGUAACGGCCCACCAAAGCGACGAUCAGUAGCCGACCUGAGAGGGUGACCGGCCACAUUGGGACUGAGACACGGCCCAAACUCCUACGGGAGGCAGCAGUGGGGAAUAUUGCACAAUGGGCGAAAGCCUGAUGCAGCGACGCCGCGUGAGUGAAGAAGUAUUUCGGUAUGUAAAGCUCUAUCAGCAGGGAAGAAAAUGACGGUACCUGACUAAGAAGCCCCGGCUAACUACGUGCCAGCAGCCGCGGUAAUACGUAGGGGGCAAGCGUUAUCCGGAUUUACUGGGUGUAAAGGGAGCGUAGACGGCGAAGCAAGUCUGAAGUGAAAACCCAGGGCUCAACCCUGGGACUGCUUUGGAAGCUGUUUUGCUAGAGUGUCGGAGAGGUAAGUGGAAUUCCUAGUGUAGCGGUGAAAUGCGUAGAUAUUAGGAGGAACACCAGUGGCGAAGGCGGCUUACUGGACGAUAACUGACGUUGAGGCUCGAAAGCGUGGGGAACAAACAGGAUUAGAUACCCUGGUAGUCCACGCCGUAAACGAUGAAUGCUAGGUGUUGGGGGGCAAAGCCCUUCGGUGCCGCCGCAAACGCAGUAAGCAUUCCACCUGGGGAGUACGUUCGCAAGAAUGAAACUCAAAGGAAUUGACGGGGACCCGCACAAGCGGUGGAGCAUGUGGUUUAAUUCGAAGCAACGCGAAGAACCUUACCAAGUCUUGACAUCCCCCUGACGGGCCGGUAACGCGGCCUUUCCUUCGGGACAGGGGAGACAGGUGGUGCAUGGUUGUCGUCAGCUCGUGUCGUGAGAUGUUGGGUUAAGUCCCGCAACGAGCGCAACCCUUAUCCUUAGUAGCCAGCACGUGAAGGUGGGCACUCUAGGGAGACUGCCAGGGAUAACCUGGAGGAAGGUGGGGAUGACGUCAAAUCAUCAUGCCCCUUAUGAUUUGGGCUACACACGUGCUACAAUGGCGUAAACAAAGGGAAGCGAGACAGUGAUGUGGAGCAAAUCCCAAAAAUAACGUCCCAGUUCGGACUGUAGUCUGCAACCCGACUACACGAAGCUGGAAUCGCUAGUAAUCGCGAAUCAGAAUGUCGCGGUGAAUACGUUCCCGGGUCUUGUACACACCGCCCGUCACACCAUGGGAGUCAGCAACGCCCGAAGUCAGUGACCCAACCGAAAGGAGGGAGCUGCCGAAGGCGGGGCAGGUAACUGGGGUG